AGACUUAGCUUUCUUCUUGCUAGGUGCGGGAGCUGGAACUGCGGCUGGAGGAGAAGCCAAGGGAGCUGGUGGUGAGGUUGCUGGAGGAGGAGUUGCCGGUGGGGGAGUAGCAGGAGGAGGAGAAGCAGGUGGUGGAGAAGCCGGUGGAGGAGUGGCGGGAGGGGGAGAAGCCGGUGGUGGAGAGCUAACGGGUGGGGGAGUUGCUGGAGGAGGAGAGCUAGGUGGAGGAGUUGAAACUGGUGGUGGAGAAGCCGUCACUGGAGGUGGUGAUGAAGUAGGGGGAGGAGAAGAAGCCGGUGGCGGAGUGCUGGUUGGUGUAGGCGGUGGUUGAGUAGUCGGCGGAGGAGUAGAGGCUGGUGGCGUUGGAGGCGCCGGCGUGGAUGUAGGAGGAUUACUAGGAG
rnacentral:lncRNA from 1 species